rnacentral:rRNA from 1 species
UAGAGUUUGAUCCUGGCUCAGGGCGAACGCUGGCGGCAGGCCUAAUACAUGCAAGUCGAGCGGGUGUAGCAAUACACCAGCGGCAGACGGGAGAGUAACACGUGGGAACGUGCCCUUCAGUUCGGAACAACCCAGGGAAACUUGGGCUAAUACCGGAUACGUCCGUAAGGAGAAAGAUUUAUCGCUGAAGGAUCGGCCCGCGUCUGAUUAGCUAGUUGGUGAGGUAAUGGCUCACCAAGGCGACGAUCAGUAGCUGGUCUGAGAGGAUGAUCAGCCACAUUGGGACUGAGACACGGCCCAAACUCCUACGGGAGGCAGCAGUGGGGAAUAUUGGACAAUGGGCGCAAGCCUGAUCCAGCCAUGCCGCGUGAGUGAUGAAGGCCCUAGGGUUGUAAAGCACUGUCGGGAGGGACGAAUAAGGGGCCAGCUAACACCUGGUUCCGAUGACGGUACCUCCAAAGGAAGCACCGGCUAACUCUGUGCCAGCAGCCGCGGUAAUGCGACGUCGGCCCAAUCGCCC